CUGCGGAGACAUUACCGAGUGCGGGUCCUUUGGGCCCAACCUCCCAUCCGUGUCUAUUGUACCCUGUUGCUUCGGCGGGCCCGCCGCUUGUCGGCCGCCGGGGGGGCGCCUCUGCCCCCCGGGCCCGUGCCCGCCGGAGACCCCAACACGAACACUGUCUGAAAGCGUGCAGUCUGAGUUGAUUGAAUGCAAUCAGUUAAAACUUUCAACAAUGGAUCUCUUGGUUCCGGCAUCGAUGAAGAACGCAGCGAAAUGCGAUAACUAAUGUGAAUUGCAGAAUUCAGUGAAUCAUCGAGUCUUUGAACGCACAUUGCGCCCCCUGGUAUUCCGGGGGGCAUGCCUGUCCGAGCGUCAUUGCUGCCCUCAAGCCCGGCUUGUGUGUUGGGUCGCCGUCCCCCUCUCCGGGGGGACGGGCCCGAAAGGCAGCGGCGGCACCGCGUCCGAUCCUCGAGCGUAUGGGGCUUUGUCACAUGCUCUGUAGGAUUGGCCGGCGCCUGCCGACGUUUUCCAACCAUUCUUUCCAGGUUGACCUCGGAUCAGGUAGGGAUACCCGCUGAACUUAAGCAUAUCAAAAACCCGGAGGGA
rnacentral:rRNA from 1 species